rnacentral:rRNA from 1 species
CCAAAAACAUAGCUAAUAGAAACAAUUAUUAUUAGUGAUGCCUGCUCAAUGGUUGAACAAUAACAAAUAACAACGACUAAAUAGCCGCGGUAACACCUGACCGUGCAAAGGUAGCAUAAUAAACCGCCUACUAAUUAUAGGAUAGAAUGAAGGUAAAACGAAGACCCAACUGUCUCAAGACCCUAAAUUUAAAAUAGAAUGUGUGUGCAAAUCCACACUAAAACGGCAAGACGACCAGACCCUAAGAACUUUACCCAAAACUUUAACCAUUAAAAAGUUCUAAGUUUCGUUGGGGCAACGAUCUUUAAAAAAGUAACUAAGACUAAUCAAUCACACAACACAUGAACAAUAAUUCAAAACAGAUAAAACCCAUUAAUCUUAAAUUUAAUGGAAAAAAAUAAAAGUUCCUUAGGGAUAACAGCGUUAUAUCGUUCUUUAGAAAAUAUUCAAACGAUGUUUGCGACCUCGAU